AUUGAACGCUAGCGGGAUGCCUUACACAUGCAAGUCGAACGGCAGCGCGGACUUCGGUCUGGCGGCGAGUGGCGAACGGGUGAGUAAUGUAUCGGAACGCGCCCAGUAGCGGGGGAUAACUACUCGAAAGAGUAGCUAAUACCGCAUACGCCCUACGGGGGAAAGGGGGGGAUCGCAAGACCUCUCACUAUUGGAGCGGCCGAUAUCGGAUUAGCUAGUUGGUGAGGUAAAGGCUCACCAAGGCGACGAUCCGUAGCUGGUUUGAGAGGACGACCAGACAAGCUGGGAAUGGGAUACGGCCAGACUCCGACGGGAGGAAGCAGUGGGGAAUUUUGGACAAUGGACGCAAGGCUGAUCCAGCCAUUCCGCGUGCAGGAUGAAGGCCCUCGGGUUGUAAACUGCUUUUGUACAGAACGAAAAGGCUCUGGUUAAUACCUGGAGCUCAUGACGGUACUGUAAGAAUAAGCACCGGCUAACUACGUGCCAGCAGCCGCGGUAA
rnacentral:rRNA from 1 species